rnacentral:rRNA from 1 species
UCAAGCAACUAAGCGCAUACGGUGGAUGCCUUGGCAGUCAGAGGCGAUGAAAGACGUGGAAGCCUGCGAUAAGGCUCGGGGAGCUGGCAAACAAGCUGUGAUCCGGGCAUCUCUGAAUGGGGAAACCCACCGACUUUCGGGUCGGUAUCUUACACUGAAUCCAUAGGUGUGAGAGGCGAACCGGGGGAACUGAAACAUCUAAGUACCCCGAGGAAAAGAAAUCAACCGAGAUUCCCUAAGUAGCGGCGAGCGAACGGGGACUAGCCCUUAAGCUAGACAACUGGUAGGAGAAGGCUCUGGAAAGUGCCGCCAUAGUGGGUGAUAGCCCCGUAUCCGAAACCUGAGUCUGGUGAAAUCGAGUAGGACGGGACACGUGAUAUCCUGUCUGAACAUGGGGGGACCAUCCUCCAAGGCUAAAUACUCCUGACUGACCGAUAGUGAACCAGUACCGUGAGGGAAAGGCGAAAAGAACCCCUGUGAGGGGAGUGAAAUAGAUCCUGAAACCGUAUGCGUACAAGCAGUCGGAGCGGACUUGUUCCGUGACGGCGUACCUUUUGUAUAAUGGGUCAGCGACUUAUGUUCAGUGGCGAGGUUAACCGUUUAGGGGAGCCGUAGGGAAACCGAGUCUGAAUAGGGCGAUUUAGUCGCUGGGCAUAGACCCGAAACCGGGCGAUCUAUCCAUGAGCAGGUUGAAGGUGCCGUAACAGGCACUGGAGGACCGAACCCACUGUCGUUGAAAAGCCAGGGGAUGACUUGUGGAUCGGAGUGAAAGGCUAAUCAAGCCCGGAGAUAGCUGGUUCUCCCCGAAAGCUAUUUAGGUAGCGCCUCGGACGAAUACCACAGGGGGUAGAGCACUGUUUCGGCUAGGGGGUCAUCCCGACUUACCAACCCGAUGCAAACUCCGAAUACCUGUGAGUACUAUCCGGGAGACACACGGCGGGUGCUAACGUCCGUCGUGAAGAGGGAAACAACCCAGACCGCCAGCUAAGGUCCCCAAGUACCAGUUAAGUGGGAAACGAUGUGGGAAGGCUCAGACAGCUAGGAGGUUGGCUUAGAAGCAGCCAUCCUUUAAAGAAAGCGUAAUAGCUCACUAGUCGAGUCGGCCUGCGCGGAAGAUGUAACGGGGCUCAAACUGGUCACCGAAGCUGCGGCUGCAUACUUUGUAUGCGGGGUAGGGGAGCGUUCUGUAAGCCUGCGAAGGUGUGUUGAGAAGCAUGCUGGAGGUAUCAGAAGUGCGAAUGCUGACAUGAGUAACGACAAUGCGGGUGAAAAACCCGCACGCCGGAAGACCAAGGGUUCCUGCGCAACGCUAAUCGGCGCAGGGUGAGUCGGCCCCUAAGGCGAGACCGAAAGGUGUAGUCGAUGGGAAACGGGUUAAUAUUCCCGUACCUUGGAUAGCUGCGAUGGAGAGACGGAGAAGGCUAGGUGAGCCGGGCGACGGUUGUCCCGGUUUAAGCGAGUAGGGAGUGGACUUAGGCAAAUCCGGGUCCACAAUCCCGAGACGUGACGACGACUGCUCAUAGAGCGGGAAGUCAUUGAUGCCAUGCUUCCAGGAAAAUCUUCUAAGCUUCAGGCUAUUCGAGACCGUACCCCAAACCGACACAGGUGGUCAGGUAGAGAAUACCAAGGCGCUUGAGAGAACUCGGGUAAAGGAACUAGGCAAAAUGGUGCCGUAACUUCGGGAGAAGGCACGCUGGCAGUAAGUGAAGCCCCUGCGGGUGGAGCUGAGACCAGUCGAAGAUACCAGGCCCCUGCGACUGUUUAUUAAAAACACAGCACUGUGCAAACACGAAAGUGGACGUAUACGGUGUGACGCCUGCCCGGUGCCGGAAGGUUAAUUGAUGGGGUUAGCGCUUGCGCGAAGCUCUUGAUCGAAGCCCCGGUAAACGGCGGCCGUAACAAUAACGGUCCUAAGGUAGCGAAA